rnacentral:rRNA from 1 species
UACGAAGGUCCCAAGCGUUAUCCGGAUUUAUUGGGUUUAAAGGGUGCGUAGGCGGGCUAUUAAGUCAGUGGUGAAAGCCCCAAGCUUAACUUGGGAACUGCCAUUGAUACUGAUGGUCUUGAGUACAUUUGAGGUGGGCGGAAUGUGUCAUGUAGCGGUGAAAUGCUUAGAUAUGACACAGAACACCGAUUGCGAAGGCAACUCACUAAACUGUAACUGACGCUGAAGGCACGAAAGCGUGGGGAGCAAACAGG